rnacentral:tRNA from 1 species
GGACUUUUAGUUCAAUGGUAGAACCCACCGCUCAUAACGGUGUAGGUGUAGGUUCGAAUCCUACAGAGUCCA